rnacentral:sRNA from 1 species
GGACAUCACAGACAAAGUAUUAAAAGAGGAUUUUUAUAGAAUCUGAGAUGUUUUAAUACUUUGUCUGUGAUGUCCUUUAUAGAGGAUCCGACAAGUCUAUAAGGACAUCACAGACAAAGUAUUAAAAGAGGAUUUUAUAGAAUCUGAGAUGUUUUAAUACUUUGUCUGUGAUGUCCUUGUAGAGGAUCCGACAAAGUCUAUAAGGACAUCACAGACAAAGUAUUAAAAGAGGAUUUUAUAGAAUCUGAGAUGUUUUAAUACUUUGUCUGUGAUGUCC